CCUUGGAUGGCCUGCUGUUACAGAGAGAAUCUGCGGUUAAAUCAUCUUAGAUCCGCACUGUGAACGCACUUUUAACACAACACUUUGUUUUUGACACAAUGAUUUGUACUAUCAAUGCGCCGAUCCGCGGCUAACCCGGUUCGGAUUCGCUGCGCGGACGCGCCACUGACUCAGCCGUUAUCAGAACCUGAGAGAAAGAAACAACAUCCACCUGUUGUCCGUGGAUUUCACUAUGACAUCAGGACCCUGUCCUUCUGCUGAGUGUCUCCAUCAGGAGGCCGACACGCUGAUCAGAAAAUAUACUAUGGUUAAUAAGAAGAUGGACAUAACAGCAUGAUAAAGACCCUCUGGAGAAUUCCCUCUGCUGGGCCAAGUUCCAAAAAUGUAGAGACAGACCCUGUAUUGUUUCUUUCAGAACCUGCUGUGGUGGAGUUUACAGACUGACCCUCUAUGCUGUGAGAAAGGGGAAGCCCAGAGCUGGACACUGACAGACUGGAUCUUCACCAGUAGGACUGAAAAGGAGCCAGACUCACUACACCUCUGCCUCAAAACCUCUGCCUCAAAACCUCUGCCUCAGACUGAAGCUAAAGACAGAGGCUCUGAAGCUCCCACACUUCACACUCUAUAAGAACAACCACCCGUCUAAUUGUUCUGUGGUGGUAAACACAAGUUAAGUUUGAGUUUAAACAGUAUGGUUUGGCUACACUCUGUCUCAUCUGUCCAGGCUUUUACUCAUAUAGCUUAUAUUUGUUUUUUGCCAUUUAAAAAAAAACAAAAACUUUGCUUAACUUGAAGUAUUUUUAGUAAAAACUGUAAAUUGUCAUUUUCAUAUUAAGAAUGAAGCAUUGGUUAACUCAAAGGGUAUAUAAGUCCUAUAACAUUAAUAAUAAUUAU